GAUGAACGCUGGCGGCGUGCCUAAUACAUGCAAGUCGAGCGAAUGGAUUGAGAGCUUGCUCUUAUGAAGUUAGCGGCGGACGGGUGAGUAACACGUGGGUAACCUGCCCAUAAGACUGGGAUAACUCCGGGAAACCGGGGCUAAUACCGGAUAACAUUUUGAACCGCAUGGUUCGAAAUUGAAAGGCGGCUUUGGCUGUCACUUAUGGAUGGACACGCGUCGCAUUAGCUAGUUGGUGAGGUAACGGCUCACCAAGGUAACGAUGCGUAGCCGACCUGAGAGGGUGAUCAGCCACACUGGGACUGAGACACGGCACAGACUCCGACGGGAGGCAGCAGUAGGGAAUCUUCCGCAAUGGACGAAAGUCUGACGGAGCAACGCCGCGUGAGUGAUGAAGGCUUUCGGGUCGUAAAACUCUGUUGUUAGGGAAGAACAAGUGCUAGUUGAAUAAGCUGGCACCUUGACGGUACCUAACCAGAAAGCCACGGCUAACUACGUGCCAGCCGCCGCCGUAA
rnacentral:rRNA from 1 species